AAGUGGUAGCAAUACCAUGAGUAAAGUGGCGCACGGGUGAGUAACACGUGACUAACCUACCCUGGAGUGGGGAAUAACUGAGGGAAACCUUAGCUAAUGCCGCAUAACACCUACGGGUCAAAGGAGCAAUUCGCUUCAGGAGGGGGUCGCGGCCGAUUAGUUAGUUGGCGGGGUAACGGCCCACCAAGACGAUGAUCGGUAUCCGGCCUGAGAGGGCGCACGGACACACUGGAACUGAAACACGGUCCAGACUCCUACGGGAGGCAGCAGUGGGGAAUUUUGCGCAAUGGGGGAAACCCUGACGCAGCAACGCCGCGUGGAGGAUGAAGUCCUUCGGG
rnacentral:rRNA from 1 species